CAGUCAUUCUUGAAAUCGCAUUUCUUACUGGCGGAGAUACAUAACUUGCUUCCUUUACACAUGAAGCCAUUAUUGGAGCAAGGAUUAGCAGCUUACCUAUUUCCGGCUGGCAUUCCGGAGUGAAAGAGAUAUCGUCAAUAGCAAUAUCACCUUUGUACGCUGAACCAAUCAUACCUUCGAUCAAAAUCUGCAAAGAAAAACAGCCAUGACACAUCAAACACUUAUUGUACAAUUUUAUAGUUCCAUAGAAGUUACGAUUAUCAAAAAAAAAAAAGAUUAGAAUGAAAUAAAAAUACAUUUAUAA